rnacentral:misc_RNA from 1 species
GUUUCAGAGGUCCACGUUUUGACGACUCUUCGGAGAUUGCAUCAGUGAGUUCGGGAGAAAUAUAAGAGCCAAAACAGAAGGAGAGCGGGGCAAUUCUAGGGUAAGCGGAGAUUGAUUUCAGGGAUAUAAGGUCAGUUUGAGUCCGGGAGAAGUUGAAAGGUGGAUGCGGCCAUGAAAGAGCCGUAGUGAGCGAUAUCGACAUCACAGGUAACCGUCGUAACAGCAUUUUUACGGCUUGUAUUGAGGAAGCAAGUCAACCAACCAGGGUACCAGGCGGAAGAGCAAC